GCAGUACCCACGCAAGGGGACCGUCAUCUUCCUCCGACUCAUACACUGCACCCCUUGCUCCAUCAUCUGCACAAAUGCACAUCAAAGCAAAUGGCAGACAUGAUUACCUUUACAUCAGUCCACACCCCUCUCCAUUACAUCCGUCCCUUGCCCCGAGUCAUCCCCGCAGUCGCAUGUGACACGGUUGCCCGUGACGUCGCCUGAGUCGCCGUCACCGGAGCUGCCAUCACCACCACCCCGCCACCACCCCGUUCACCCCAUCCCCUUCACCUCCCCUGCCGUCACCACGGCCGCCAUUUCCACCUCCGUCCUCUUCACUGCGGCAAUCCCCGCUCCCCCAUCUCCGUGACCUCUCUCCCCUGCAUUCCCAUCUGUUCUCACCUGCACCUCCGUCGCCAACCGUUCCUUCUUCAGUGGCAACAAUACGGAUCUCCACCUCUCCAUCCGCCCCAAUGUGUCCAAGUGAUCCGUCACCUGGGAAUAGCAGGGCAUACGUCCACGACACCAUGAAGGGUUCAUCGUCAUCCCCGCAGUCGCAUGUGACGCGGUUGCCCGUGACGUCGCCUGAGUCGCCGUCACCGGAGCUGCCAUCACCACCACCCCGCCACCACCCCGUUCACCCCAUCCCCUUCACCUCCCCUGCCAUUUCCACCUCCGUCCUCUUCACUGCGGCAAACACCGCCCCUCCAUCUCCGUGGCCGCAAUCACCCCCACUACCCUCUCUCUCCCCUGCAUUCCCAUCCGUUCUCACCUGCACAGCUGUGCCGCCGUUGCCCCUGACGUCGCCUGAGUCGCCGUCACCUGAGCCACCAUCACCACCACCCCCUUCAACCCAUCCCCUUCACCUCCCCUGCCGUCACCACUGCUGCCAUUUCCGUCCUCUUACCUUAUGGACUAUGGUCUCACCUGUUAGAUUGUCGGGGCUCCACUGCAUUUCCGCCUGGCCCUUCGGUGGACUCCACUCCAUGUCCACCUCCACCGCAGACGGGGUGCCUGCACUGACAGGGGGGACCUCGUUUCAAAUCGCUCAUGUCCUACAUGUGACGUGUGUGCUAGUUUCGUUUGUUGUACCUGUUUGGUCCGGUUUGUUAGCUUGCGGCUGUGCUCCCGCACCAACCACCGAAGGGCCCGCCGGAACGGGAGCUUGUUGCUGAGGACAUUCAUCUGCAUAAUAUUGGACGUCGCAAAUUUUAACCAUACAUAGUAGCUGGCAAUGUAUUGCAGCAAUUCCUCACUGCGUCCAGCGAUCAUCUCGUUAGGAGCCACGGCAUCGAGGACAAAAAGCUCUGUGCCAUUAUUACCACCAUGAGGCUGGACGCACUGAUGCGUGAUGACGUGAUUAUAUGCAUGAGACUUGCUAUGAUACUUGCGUCCGCAGGACACACACGUAAUUUGAAAUUUCGACAACGCAUACAGUCGACCGCGGUAGAGGUAACGUGGAUAUGUUUUAGCUGAAGGGGCCAUCUUUAUUAGCUAUUAUUACAUCUUCAACAGAAAGCUGGACUUGCGAACAGAUGCUGUGUGCAUUUGUAUGUUCUGAAGGGCCCUACAGCCCUUCAUUCUGGGACAAGCGCAGACUGAACGAAACCUUAUGUUUGGAGUAUUUGUAAAGUCAUAAGUAAUUAAAACAAUCACUGGCAUGGCGAUAUUACAGGGCUUUUGCAUGCUAAGUGGCCAUUUCAGCCGAACUCCGUCGAUAUGCUCUGAAGGCCCCUCAGCCCUUCGUUAUGAAUUGAGCACGAAUGAGCACGAAACGACAACUAGAUGAAGGGAUUCCCGGGUAUCGAAGGGAAGCUGGUUCCCAGAGUGAGACAGGUUAGUUUUACCCUACUGUUGGACCGAUUCCGCCAUAGUAAUACGGCUCAGUACGAGAGGAACCGCCGUUUAAGAUAAUUGGUAAAUGCCCUUGCCUGAAAAGGCAAUGGGGCGAAGCUAACAUCUGUAGUCUAAUGACUGAACGCCUCUAAGUCAGAAGACAUGCUAGGUGCGGAGUCACUUUCCCAAUGAUGUCACCCGACUAAGGAUACAUCCGCCUGUGUGGAUGCUGGAGCAUAUCCGUUGGUUUCCCCGUUAGGAUCACAAGUCCAAUACGGGUGCCAAGCACGACAAUUCCACUCGUCAUUGGGGUAAAUCCUCUGCAGACGACUUUGUUGCAACUGGGUAUUGUAAGUGGUAGAGUGGCCUUGCUGCUACGAUCCACUGAGAUUCAUCCCGUGUUGCUAUAAGAUUUGUAUAAAAAUAUUAAUUAAGACUCCUAAGGAGUCCUAAUUAAUACUCUCCCCUUUCCUUCUUUAAAGGAACCUGCUCCAGGGAGGGCUUUUAUUAUACAAAAAUGGCCCACAUCCAAUGGAGGGCCACAUCCAAUCUUUUCUCACUCUCUUCCAAGUGGUGUAGCCACAGAGAACAUACAAAAACACUAUAUUUUGGUUUUGCUGUGGCGGCCAGUUCAACUCUGGCAUGGAAGAAUCAUUGCUANNNNNNNNNNNNNNNNNNNNNNNNN
rnacentral:ncRNA from 1 species